CUACGGGUUGCUCCAGUCACGGAAACUUUACAAUGCGCGAAAGCGUGAUAAGGGUAUCCCAAGUGCUUUGCUUAUUGUAAGGCUUUUGCCAAGUGUAAAGAGCUUGGCGAAUAAGUGGUGGGUAAGACUGGUGCCAGCCGCCGCGGUAACACCAGCGCCACAAGUGGUAACCACGUUUAUUGGCCUAAAGCGUUCGUAGCCGGUUUGAUAAGUUUCUUGUGAAAUUGUUUGGCCUAACCAAACAACGUGCAAGAAAUACUGUCUAACUUGGGACCGGGAGGAGUUAGAGGUAUUCCAUGGGGAGCGGUAAAAUGCUAUAAUCCUUGGAGGACCACCAAUGGCGAAGGCUUCUAACUAGAACGGAUCCGACGGUCAGGAACGAAGGCUAGGGGAGCAAAACGGAUUAGAUACCCUGGUAGUC
rnacentral:rRNA from 1 species